ACAACCAAGGUGUAGAUGCAGUUAGUGGCCGUGUUUGCAGAUGUGGGGUGCAACGUCCCCGGGAGAUGUUCAAUUUGGUAGCGUCUGUGUACACUGUUGGGACCGCCUGCCAGCUAGAGCGGAGGCUGGAGGCUCCAGCACGGAAAGUGGGGACCCCUCUGCAUGCACGGAAGGGAAGAAAAACCCCCUCCCCACCUGUGGGCGCCUUCCAGGUGUGCUGCCCUUCAGGUUGGGGUUUGCAACAAACCAAAUGACAACAGCGACGGGCCCAAAGCAGAGGGAUGCACAACCAGCCAACGCCCAUGGCUGCCCCCAGGCCGGGCAGAGAGGCCAGCAGCCCUGGGCACAGAGCCUGGGCAUCCUGCGGAAGGGAAGCAGACCCAGGACACAGGCAGCGGCGAGCAGCGCUGUCAGAGGGAAGCAGGAGGAUUAAUCAGCGUGAUGCUCCCCACACUGAUUAAACAAUGAGGCGCCCUGGGGUUCUGCUGUCUGUCCCGAUGAGUGCUCAUCACCCUGAUGUGCAAACCCUGAACAGCUCCCUCGGGAGCAAACUACCUUUUAAUUUUUCUCUCUAAAGAUUAAUUCCAUUGUUACGGAACCUGUAUUAUAAGCACCGUAAACUAAUCAUUAGUCAUUUUCAAGCAAUCUGACCUUCCUUGCCACAAAUCGUGGAGUGUUUUCCAAGAGGUCUUUUUUGGGUUCUGGGGAUUUGCAUCAUGCAAGUUCAGAAAGAGUCGAAAAUAAACAAGAACAUUUGCCCUGUAACUUCGCAAACAAGAGAAAAAACUGAAACGGCUUCUUUUUCAUGGGGGUGACUUCUUGUAUUUUGACAGCUGAGAAGGCAAAAUUGGGAACAAUGCUUUUAUCCCGGCCCCACAACAUCCUGCCAGGGGACAGGAGAGGCCUGCAGGAAUGGGCUGCUCCAGGACCUCCUUCACACGUGUAGCCCAUCCAGAGCUCCCCAAAUCUUCCCUGGUAGGUAUGUGCAUCAGUGUCCUGGGGCAACAAAGUGCCCUGGCUGGGGGCUUAAACAACGGAGCUUUAUUCUCGCACAGUCUGGGAGGGUGGCCCUAAUCCAGUGACGGGCGUCCUUAUAAAAGGGGAGGUUUGGACACAGAGAAGAGACCACAGGGAGGACGCCAUGGAAGACUAGACCUGUGCUGCCACAAGCCGAGGAACCACUGGGAGCCUUGGAGAGGCCUGGACAGACGCUCCCCCAGCGCCUCCAGAGGGAGACGGCCCUGCCACCCCUGGGUCCCGGACUGCUGCCUCCAGGACUGAGCGAGAACUAAGUUCCGUCGUUUAAGCCCCCA
rnacentral:lncRNA from 1 species